rnacentral:misc_RNA from 1 species
UUUUGCUCCUUCCAAGCUCGCUGCUUCGCGGCGGAUUCUUGAAUUAGGACUGAAAUUUCCAUGGAUGAGAUGUUGUGAUCUCUUGAUAUUGGUGGGGAAGAGAUGGAAAUUAGGAGAGAGAUGAGAAAUGGAAGAAGAACUUGAGCAUUUGGUUCCAAGAAGAGCUUCAGCCAUUUUCUCCCCAUCUCUGAAUUGACUACUGGG